rnacentral:rRNA from 1 species
AUGAGAGAAAAGGAGAGAAGGGACAAUGCUACUAUCCUUUUUACCACACUUGUGCUUCAAAGUAGCACCAUGACCUUCAUGAUUGAGAGUCUCCUAUGUUGUCACUUUCAUAUACUACUGGGAAUUUUUCAUUAUAGAACUUGGCUUGUAUAUUCCAAUGAUGGGCUUCCUCAAAACGCCCUAGGUCUUCGUGAGAAAGCAAGUUGGAUGCACACCCACUUAGUUUCUUUUGUUGAGCUUUCAUACAUUUAUAGCUUUAGUGCAUCCGUUGCUUGGCAAUCCCUACUCACUCACAGUGAUAUCUAUUAA